GGAGAGUAUACCCAGUGGUAGAGUGUGUGCUUAGCAUGCACAAGGUUCUGGGUUCAAUCCCCAGGACCUCCA
rnacentral:tRNA from 1 species